rnacentral:rRNA from 1 species
GAUGAACGCUGGCGGCGUGCCUAAUACAUGCAAGUCGAGCGAACAGACGAGGAGCUUGCUCCUCUGACGUUAGCGGCGGACGGGUGAGUAACACGUGGAUAACCUACCUAUAAGACUGGGAUAACUUCGGGAAACCGGAGCUAAUACCGGAUAACAUGUUGAACCGCAUGGUUCAACAGUGAAAGACGGUCUUGCUGUCACUUAUAGAUGGAUCCGCGCCGCAUUAGCUAGUUGGUAAGGUAACGGCUUACCAAGGCAACGAUGCGUAGCCGACCUGAGAGGGGGAACCGGCAAACUUGAACUGAGGACCGGUCCCAAAUCCCUACGGGAGCAAGCAGUGGGAAACCUUCCGCAAGGGGCGAAGGCUGAAGGGAGAAAGCCGGCGUGGGUAAAAAAGGUUUUCGGUUCGUAAACCCUUGUAAUUAGGAAAGAAAAAAGGUGUAAGUACCAAUCAAGGUUUGAACGGAACCAAUCAGAAAGCCACGGCUAACUACGUG